UGAACGCAACAAAAUUUCAGAUACACAAAUAAGGAAGAACAUAAAAGAUUAUAUCCAUUUUAUAAAAAUAGGAAAUGUGUGGAACAACAAUGGGUCGCCUUGGUUUACAAGGAGUGGUGUGAUAUAAGAAAUGUGAACGUAAUGAAAAUGUCUGAAGAGUGUUAAUACACAUGAACCAGCGUAGUUUUUAGGUGAAAUUUAAUAGCAAUGGCAAUACUGACACUAUGUGAGCUAAAUGUAUGGCGAACAAGAGAGAUUUGAGCACGGCGACACUUUUACAGGUGUGAGAUAAAAGUCAACCAAUAUUUAAGCUCUAGUCUUGGUGUACGCUCCAAUGUACAUACUUAUAUAUCGAUCUGUGUGCGUAUAGUAUUGGCUGUAGGCGACAGAAUGCAAAAAGCUACGUGUAGUCCAACAUUUGACUGACGGGCUGACAGAGUAUGGAAAAGUGAGUGCAUGUUUGACUGACAGACCGAUGAAACAAAACAGCUAAUAGUACAGAGAUACAUAUGCAUAGAAUUGCANCAAUGUUGCAUGUGUUCCACAUAUAUAAUAUGGGUAUAUGCAUGGAUGUAUUGGCAAGCGGAAAAUGCUGAAAUUGACUGAAGACGAUCAGUAUUAACUACACAUUCAGCGUGCAUUUGCGUANCGUUAGAACUACAAACAUGUGGUGAAGGAACAAAGAUUAUUGCAGCAGAAACAAUGCAGGAAAACUCAAAAAAAAAAAUAUAUAUAUAUAUUUAUAUCAAUUUAGAAACUCACAUGNAUAUUAACAACACAAAAUGCCCAUGCACAGGAAGUUUACAUAGGCCAUUUGUAAGCCAAAUGCAAAGCGCAAACAAUGCAGUGGCGAUAAAGCACACAUAGGCAGCGUGAAAGCAAGAAGAAGAUGUGUGAAGAGAGACAAACAAAUAUAAAUGGUUUUGCGGCUAAAUGUGGUAAAGGAAAUGGCAUUUUGUGGCAUGAAAAAUAAAAUCACAUUGUCGGAGUGGCAAUAAUGAAAUGGAGCUUGUCAAGUCAUUAAAUUCAGAGUAACACAAAAGAAACACACAGUGAAAAAAAAAAAUAAGUUUUGUAUAAUAUUGUAUUUUUUGACACAAGUUUUAAUCUUUUUCCUUUUGCAUUUCAGAUCGCUCUUCACGACUUAUGGAAAUCAAAUNUAUAAGCAUAUAGCGAUCUAUCNGUUCGCAAGACAGUCGGGUUUACAUAACCGGAACGGACUCGGAUUUUUUAUCCGGUGCAGAAUUGUCAACUCGACAAAAUUCUGCCGCUGCAACAUCAAUUGAUUUCCAAUUGUUCAAAAUAUGAAGGUUGGCGAUUUUUUUUUAGAUAUUCGCUUAUAAAAGUAUUCGAGUGCGUUUUUCUAUCUGUCUAUAUAUACGCGAAUUAGUCUGUAAAAUAUCGAUCUGAAAACUAAACAAUUAAAAUCGUGUUCCUAUGUGGCAAACUUUUUUUAUUCCAAAAGAUAUCGUCAAGAAAUUUCUCAUGGCUUAUUUUUUAUAGCAACGAUAGAAUCUCGGAAUAAAUUGUUCAGAUCGGACCACUUCAGCACAUACUCGUGGCCACGCAAACUUUAGCAGUGAAUUUUCUUAUGGAUAUACACUUUAGGUGUAAUUGUAACGGUUAUGUUGGUAUUUGAAUACAUUUUUGUUAUUUGACAUUGUAUGAUUUGAAUGUGCGGAAACCCGUGGCUAAACCACUUUUAACCAUGAAAAUCAGGCUUGGUCGUUUGAAUUGGGCGAAAACGCACCGUAACUGGUCCUUCGAGUCGUAGAAAAUGGUAAUAUGGUCGGAUGAAACCUGAUUUAAUUUGCACAACAACGCGCGAUUUCCGGGGAAACGUUUCGCCGAAAAUUGUGUGAACUUUUAAGCAUCCUGAAAGCUAAAUGGUCUGGACGUGUUUUUCUUUUUAUAUCCGAGGUCCUUUACUUUUUAUUGAUGAGAUGAGGAACGCUCAGAAGUAUCAAGAAGUUAUAUCCCAUUUUAUCGUGGCGGUCGUAGAAGAACAAUAUGAGCAUAUUUCUGAGGCCAUCUUCGAUUCAGAAAAUGUUUGCAGAUGUUGAGAUAUCGCAUAUGACAUGGCCAGGAUGUUCUGCCGAUUUGAACCCGAUAGAGAAUCUUUGGCAUGCCAUGAAAAUGAAAGUAACUCGACACUGGCCAAACUCAAAACGCGAAUUGAAUAAAAUUCUUGAUAAGGUGUGGGAGCAGGGAAUUUCAACCGAAUGCCUUAAAAUCAGUGUUUUGUAAUUCGUGAAACUGAAAAGCAAUUUUUUAUUGUUGUGGCGGCAUACAAUUAAAGAUAUAUCCAUAAGGAAUGUCAGUUCUUGGGCAGUGACAUCUAAAUGUAACUCUCUCUCGCUCUCUUCAUUUUCGCUGAUGAUCCAUUAACACGUGCCAAAGUAAUCAUAUCAAACAUUGUGAUACAAUGCUUUUAAACAUUUUAAUUAAAUAGUUCAGCCAAA
rnacentral:lncRNA from 1 species